UACGUAGGUGGCAAGCGUUGUCCGGAAUUAUUGGGCGUAAAGCGCGCGCAGGCGGUUAUGUAAGUCUGAUGUUAAAGCCCGGGGCUCAACCUCGGUUCGCAUUGGAAACUGCGUAACUUGAGUGCAGAAGAGGAAAGUGGUAUUCCACGUGUAGCGGUGAAAUGCGUAGAUAUGUGGAGGAACACCAGUGGCGAAGGCGACUUUCUGGUCUGUAACUGACGCUGAGGCGCGAAAGCAAGGGGAUCAAACAGG
rnacentral:rRNA from 1 species